AACAACCCUAAACCAAACAAUAUAGUACUUGGUUCCGGAUUCGAAAAUAGGAGAAUCUAGACUAUUUCAUAUGUUUCGAACCAAAAGAAGUAAAAUUCAGAGUUGCAUGUGACAAUAUGUGUUGCGUAACGAGGUGGAGGCAACUAGCUAGAAACAUAGUUGCGUGCUUGUCUACUCUAGUAACAUGCAAAUUAAUGGUGCACGCUUCUCUACGAAUCUCAUGCUUCCUCCUCUUUUGGGUGCAAUCUUAACAAAGGAUAACUAAUGGUAUUUGAGUUUGUAUCAAAGUAUAUAUUUGAAUUUAAUUAAUUUAUUGAGAUUAAUAAUUAUUUUAGUUUCUGAAAAU
rnacentral:lncRNA from 1 species